AAGACAUUUCUCUGGGCCUUCUCCCUGAAAUGGCACCCUAAAUCUCAAACACAAAUCAGGACUUCAAGUUCCCCGAGAAACGUCUGGUAGCAUCUGUCAAUAAUCUUGAUCCCUGUGCAUAUAUUACAGACUUGAAAUGAACUUGAUCUGAAGCCCUAAGGCAAUUUAGGGCUCUUCAAAGCCACUGCUAUCUCAGUAUUUCUUAUGUAAGCAUUCAAAUAUUGGAAGUCAAAUUCACUGCUACCUUUCUUGGGUCAAUGUAUCCUGUUCAUCUGGACAGAGGUGAAGAGAUGAUCAGGAGGAGUCAAUCAUGUGUCAAAUCCUCAAGAAGAAAGGAUACUCAGAGCGCUUUGUAUAUUGCCGAGGCCAGAUUUGGAUUCUAGUUUUAAGUGCCAAAAGUCUGCCACUGAAUUUGCUGGAUUUGAUGUAAAGUUAGAGGAGUAAAAUCUGUCCAGGCUGAAGAAAAAGACAAAACAGGAGAAGAGUGUCUUUCAUCAUUGCCACUGUAACACCAUCACGGCGGCCAUCACUGAAUCUGCCUCAUUUUGUUGGUGCUGUGUCCAUGCUGAAUUAAUUUACCUUGGCAGUUUCCUGAUUGUUCCAAUGUCUAUUUGUUUAAAAUGGAAACUGA